UGAGUGUUAUGAUGAUGGCGCUGUGUUUGAGUUGACGUAUUAACGUCGAGUAGCACUGCUUAGUCUAGCUCUGUCUACCGAAAUAUUUAUUUCGG
rfam:Lactococcus garvieae Lg2 DNA, complete genome.